AUAAGGAGACAUCCACUGCUGUAUCAGCUCUGGCCACUCCUCCUGCCUUCGGUCUGGCCCCUGGGACUCACCUGAUGGAAAAGGAGGUGGUGAUGCUGAUGGCACAUGAGUCAAGACAUUAGAGAAACAUGGAAGGAAGUCAUUUUAUGAGCAUAGUCGACUUGGAUCCUACAGAGAAGAUGGUGUAAUGGAUGUGCCGACCCUCAGAAUACCUGGCAAAUCACUGGCCAUUCUUGAGUGAAAUUUUCCUGCCCAUUACCCCGAUGGAAGGAUAGCCAUGUGAGUAAUGAUUCUUACCCCCAUUCUAGUGGGAUAAAGCUGGUUAUAUUUAGGGAGACUAACUGACCCAAGGGCAGUCUGUCAAAGACUAGCUAGAGUGCUCUUAGGCAAGUGGUCUACUUUAAGGGGGAAAAAAGAGCCAAUAUAAUCCUCCACUUCAGGAAUAUGAACUAAGUUUUAGUAGCAGGCAGUAUUUGAGGUUAAAAAUGGGGACAUGUGGCUAUAACGGGCAGAAAAUGUGAAUAAGCAGAAGAAGCAUGUUGAUAAAGGUGGGAUGGAUAGGCAAAGAGGAGCAGAGAAAGACAUCUGCUUUUGGCAACUUGAGAGAUGCCAUUAGAGGCAGAAGAGAAUGAAGGCGUAUCUAGUCCUCAGGGUCACCUUGCUGAUGGCAUCCUAGUCGUGCCCAUUCCGGUCCAUGGGUCUCCUUUCAAUAAGUUCUUGUUUCCAUAAAGUUAGUUGAGUGGAUCUCUGCUCCUUGAAUCCAAACCACCAAAUUAUAUUUUCAACACAGAAUGAAAUAACACAUGUUUAUUGUUAAAUAUUUCUACAGAUUUCCCCCAGUUUAGCUCUAGUGGCAAAAUGUGUGUUUCCUUUUAAGCGUAAAUGAGCAAGACCACAAAAAUUAGGUUCUUAUGCAGCAACAGGUUUUUUGUUUGUUUGUUUGUUUUUUGCUAUUGUAAAAUAGAAAUAUCUGAGCUGUUAAGUUUAUGUUGUAACAUGCUA